UGCGUAGGUGGCGUGGUAAGUCAGAUGUGAAAGCCCGGGGCUCAACCUCGGAAUUGCAUCCGAUACUGCCAUGCUCGAGUACUGAAGAGGUGACUAGAAUUCUAGGUGUAGCAGUGAAAUGCGUAGAUAUCUAGAGGAAUACCAAAGGCGAAGGCAGGUCACUGGGCAGUUACUGACACUGAGGCACGAAGGCCAGGGUAGCGAACGGGAUUAGAUACCCCUGUA
rnacentral:rRNA from 1 species